rnacentral:rRNA from 1 species
CAGUCGCCGCGGUAAUACAGAGGGUGCGAGCGUUAAUCAGAUUUACUGGGCGUAAAGCGUGCGUAGGCGGCUUUUUAAGUCGGAUGUGAAAUCCCUGAGCUUAACUUAGGAAUUGCAUUCGAUACUGGGAAGCUAGAGUAUGGGAGAGGAUGGUAGAAUUCCAGGUGUAGCGGUGAAAUGCGUAGAGAUCUGGAGGAAUACCGAUGGCGAAGGCAGCCAUCUGGCCUAAUACUGACGCUGAGGUACGAAAGCAUGGGGAGCAAACAGGAUUAGAGACCCCCGUAGUCCCUGUCUCUUAUAC